AAUAGAUACCCCGGUAGUCCACGCCGUAAACGAUGAGUGCUAAGUGUUAGAGGGUUUCCGCCCUUUAGUGCUGCAGCUAACGCAUUAAGCACUCCGCCUGGGGAGUACGGUCGCAAGACUAAAACAUAAAGGAAUUGACGGGGACCCGCACAAGCGGUGGAUUGUGUUCCUUAAUUCGAUGAUAAACGAAGAACCUUACCAGGGUUUAACAUCCCAAGAAUUAUGCCGAAAGGCGUGAGUGCUUUAUUGAACUUGGUGACAGGUGAUGCAUGGCCGUCGUCAGCUCGUGUCGUGAGAUGUUUGGUUAAGUCCAUCAACGAGCGCAACCCUUGUGAAUAGUUGAAUUUUUCUAUUCAGACUGCCCCGGCAACGGGGAGGAAGGAGGGGAUGAUGUCAGGUCAGUAUUUCCCUUACAUCCUGGGCUAGAAACGCAAUACAAUGGUUAGUACAAUGCGCAGCGAAGCCGCGAGGUGAAGCAAAUCGCAUCAAAGCUAAUCCCAGUUCGGAUAAGAGGCUGAAACUCGCCUCUUUGAAGUCGG
rnacentral:rRNA from 1 species